rnacentral:lncRNA from 1 species
ACCAGAAGCAGCAUUCGCGUUGCUGUUAUUACUGUGAUGCUUCGAAACCGAUGUGUAGGAGUGGCGAUCUUGAUGGAUCUCUUCGUCAUCUGUGACAUCUAUGGUUGAAGCACAGUCCAUGCUAUCCAAAUCCAUCGAAAAGGUGAAAACUUUAUUAAUCUCCGAUCGAGAGGAAGAUCGAAUCCGAUGGAUUGAAACGCCAACGAAGCAGGUCAACCUUCGUGAAGUGUUGAUUUCGAAGAAAGAGAGAUGCUUUUCUUCAUCGAGAGAGAGAGAGAGAGAGAGAGAGAGAAGGGGAGAGAGUUGCCGUCAAAUGAACAGGCAACGCUGAUUUGAAAUCGGACGGUCAGGAUUAUUCAGGAAGGGCGACUGUGUUGUAUAGAGAAAAUGUUAUUUGGGAAACUUUGAUUUAUACGAGCGGAAAUAAUCAUUCUUACUCGAUGAUUUCUUUUUUGUGUUUUAAUAUUUUGAUCGCGUUUUUUUUUUGAUUAUAAACAAAAUUUGUGAAUCGGUAUUUUAGAAUUGGCGUAUAUUAUUCUGUUACAAAGUUAUUAUAUCGAAGAAGGGCACUCGUUUAAAAUUAUAUAAUUUGUGAAUUUGUUUAUAUAAGAUUUUGUAUGUACACUCUUAUAUAACUCUUUAUAGUCUUAGAUAUUUUACUGGAUCCGAAAAACCAAACCAAAAUCAACCAAAAAAUAUAAUUGUGGUUUGGGUUUGGAUCGAGGGCAAAGUACAUAUUUGUUUUUUUCGUCGACUUGCGGUCCUAUCCGAGACCCGGUUGGGUAUUCAAAGUAUAUAAAAAUGUUUUAUGUAUAUUAGGUAUAUUUGAGUUUUUUCAGAUAUGUAUUUGGUAUUUCGAAUGUGUUUUCAGUAUUAUGAAUAUUUUUUUUAAGUUUCGGAUCCAUAUUUCCAAUUAUAGUUUCGGGUAAAAUUCAAAUUUUAAAAAAUAUUUUGGGUAUGAAGAAAUGUUUUUAGGCAUUUUAGGUUCCACAUAUUUAUAGUAAACUUUGGGUAUUUUUGGGAAUUUAAAUAUUUUUAAGGUAUUUAUUUGUGUUUUCAGAUUUUUUUGGGUUUCAGUAUUUUUUUUUAAUUUUUGGGUACUUCGAAUAUUUUUCGAGUCCUAAAAACCCCAAACCAAUUUGGAACGACAUACCCAAAAUUUAUAGGUAUUUUGUAGUUAUUUGAAUUAUGGACCUUGAUCCCAAUCGACCCGAACCGAACCAUAAAAUUUUAAAUACCUAAAUGUUUAGGAUCCGAAAAACUUACACCGAAAGGAACCGAUCUGUACCCAACCAGAAGAUCCGAUGUCCAUACCAACUCUCUCACAUUAUAUUUUGUGUGCAUUUUAUAAGAGUUACAUUUGUUGAACUUCUGAGACUUAAGAUUUAAUUGGUUGAUUUUGGCUAAUUUAGAGUAUAGAUUUGUAAUUAUUUAAAAUAAUUUUUAAUCUUAUAUUAAAUAAACUAUAAAAAAUAAUUUAAAGUAAAAUAUAUAUUUUAUUUUUUUACAUAUGGUUUGUUAAAAUGUUUGUAUUAAAUUUGAUUUUGUAAAUAUUUGGAACUAUGUAGAUGUUUAGAAAAGAGUGUAAUAAAGUAUAUAAACUAUAUUGUAUGUUUAGAAAAUAGUAUAAUAAAGUAUAAAACUAUAUUGUGUAUAUCAUUAUCGUGUGAUAUGGUCUAAUAAAUAAAAGUUUAUUUGUUGUAUAAUUUUGUCAUGUUCAAUUAUAGCUUUGUCAUGUUUUAAAAGAUGUGGUGUAAUAAAUUAUUGCUAGAGAAAUUUUACCUUACAUAUUAUUAGUCAAAUAUUAUGGUAAGAUCAAAUAAAUUGCUAGUUAACGAAAGGGUCCAACAACUUUUCAUAAGUAUAAUUUUUAAGAUUCCUUAUUAAAAUAGUUUUAAUUAAAAAUUAGUCCAUAAUAAAAGGGCCAUGGUCCAGUGAAGAUGGGGGCCAAACAUGUACAUGGUGGACAUGAUUGCAUAUUAUGAUGAGUUUUUCAGUCUGCAUUCAAUAAGAUUUGUGGUCUUUUAGUUCUCAAUACAAAGCUACUCAAAACCAACGUAAAUAGAUGAUUUGUAGGAACCUCUGAUCCAGUAAGAUAAACAGAAUUGUCGAAUGAUAAUAGAAUCGAUGUAAUAGUUAUAUAAUAAUUUGUAAUAAAAUAAAAAAAUAAUGUUACAAACGUCAAGCAGCCACUAAAUAAACUCCAAAGCAACAUGAUAAAACGUUACUCAUCUUUAUUUUAACUUUAGUAAAAACUUUAAAGAAAUAGAUCAAGUUAAAUAACUUUUAGACGUUAAGAAAAUGAACUCGAGAGACAAGAAUCUAAUGGAAUGUUGCUUGGGUUGAAAGCCACUUAAGAGACUAAUGAUAAUGUAAAAAGAACAUUUUACUCUUCUUCAUCUCAAGCAAACUCCCAUUUUCUUUUAAAGAAUGAACGAAAAUUAUUCCAAUAAAAUAAUUGGUCUCAUGAUGAUAGUGAUCAUCUUUAAAGACACAACACGUAAAGGAGAAAAAGCAAACAACAACGAUCCAGCUUUCAUGAUCUGUCAUUACUUUUUAACAGAACAUGUCGUUGUACUUCAUGUUGGGAUCUUGUCUGAGAAAAGAAAAAGCUCCAGAGAAUAUAAGAUCUGACAUAAGAACUGUUUCUACACAAGUUUUGCCUCAGUAACACAGAGAUCAAUCAUUAUACAAUCUGAUUAUUCAUGCAUAAAAGAAUCAAAUUUAUGGCCUUUCAGGAUCCGAGAAUGACUACUAACCUAGGAAGGUUUUAGUUUAUUUUGUUACCACUGGUUAGCCGAUGUUUCCCGGUACUUCUCAUCAUCAUUGCCCUGAGGCAACUGCUUCGGUUUAGUACCUUUUGCCCGGUUACUUAACAGUCUCUCUGAUAUUCUAUCUUUAGCCGUUGUUGUCUUCUUACGCCGUGCCAAGGAAAAGGUUUGCUUCUUGUUUUUCCUUUCAGCAAAAACUCUAUCAAACUCUUCGUCGAUGACAGCUGAUUUAGAAGUUGAGGCUAGAGCAGCAUCACGCAGAACUGAAAAGUUAUGUUCCUUAACCUUAGCAUGCUUUGCUCGCUUUGCUAUUUUCCUCAACUCUUCUCUGUCUUUCUCCCUGAUAUUCUUCAGAGCUUGUUUCGCUAUUUGCCUAGCUAACUGAUUAGGAUCAGAAUCUGAAGUUGUUUCAUCCAUAGGCGCGUCAUCCUCCUGGCUGAUCCCUGUAGUUGAGGAGGAGGUUUGGUUUUGACUCUCCUCUAACGAAGAUUCGUUGAUUAUGGGGUUUCCUUCAUCAUCCCGAGGUACAAUGGGUCCAUGAAACGGGCAGGCUCGUAGGUCUCUUCUGUGGCAAAGACCACCUUUCUUUAGAGGAGCAUGGCAUGGAGGUAUCUCUGUUCUCUCUUCUCUAUAGACAGUUGCCUGAAGAUUCAGUUCUGCUAUUUUAUCUGCUGGAAUCACAGCGUCUUGAUCCACCCUGCCCCAGUGGCUCUCAACCUCUAAGCCUCGGUGAUUAGCUCGGACUUCCGUUGUUGAGUCCCAAUUACUCAGCUGUGAUCCCCAACUCAUCACCGGUGCUUCAGAAAUUAGCUUAUCCCUAAGAGGGUCACCACUUCUUACAACCGUUUUAGUACUGGACGCCUUGUUGGAGCUAGAUUCUAAUGUAGACCUCUUAGCUUUACUUGGUGAUCUGAAGGAUGAACCCUCACCGUUCUGAACUCUCGGCAAAGGAGCCACCUUUUUGACUGGAUCAGUUCCAACCUUGCCAUCAUCUUCCUCCCAGAUAUCUUCUUCAUCUUCUUCUUUCUCGCCAGUGUCAAUCAUUCUCGAGAUUAUAAAACCAGCUUGCUCACAUUUCUUCUCAGUUGCUAAUAUGCUAUUCCUAAUAUCAAUCAACUCUUUCAACAUGGAAUCUCUCGUCCUGUUAUCACUUACAUCAACCCUGAUGAGAAGAGAGAUCCCAUCUUGAACCGAGACCAAAUGCUUUUUCAUCAGAAGCUUCCCCUGUUCCCUCAACACAUCAAACACCACUCUGUUUUCACUAGUUUCCUCAACCUUAUCAGACUGCUUCAGCGAAUCCAUACGAAUCUGCCUCAGAUGAGAACAACGUAUCUCCUCGUAAUCCUCCUCAUCUAAAAUCGCAAGUGGAACACCAUCAUCCCCUCUCCACUGAACAAUCUCCAGACCCUCCUUGAUCUCCUUUAUCGUCUCCUCAAUCUCACCCUUCAAGACCCCAAACCCAUCUCUCAAAGACUCAAACUUGCUUCUCAAAAUCUCCUUCGUCCUCUCCUCUCUCUCCAGCCUCUCUCUUUGUCUCCGCGCAGCGGUUGCCUGCAGAUCAGGGAACUUGAGCUUGAGGGUGUUCUUAAGGUAAUCAAAACCAAGCCUAAUCUCCUUGUAGUGUAACCCAAAUGAUAGAUUCCACUUCUCCAAGAACUCGAUAGCCUUUGUACGCAAAGUGGUGGCAACAGCUGGCGGCGCAGGAAGAGGCAGGCUGCUUCUAAACCCAACGCUUAAACUCAAGAGCUGAUCAAACUUCUCAACUAUUAGAUAUCUAAAGAGCUUUGAUCUCAUGAAAAGCUCGUCGAUGAUGAGAAGCGUCAAUAAUCGAACCUACCAAAGAUAAAACUCUUAUCAACAUGAAUGUGAAGAAAAGUUCCAAUCUUUUGCAGAAUUGAUCAAUUUUCAAACAAGCCCAGAAUGUAAGGAUUAAGAACCUGAGAGUGGUUAUGUUUCAUGAGCUCCAUUAGGGUUUUGGCACCGAGUCGGACCUCCGAAUCGGAAUAGCGAAGAGUUAAUUUGAUCGCCUUGAGCAGCCUCGGGUCAACCUCUUGGGCAGACGACUUUGUAGCUUUCUCUAUCAACCCGAUAACUUUUCCUCCGCCGUCAUCUCUCCCUUCCAUCGCCGGUGAUCGGGGAUUCAGAAAUCUCCUCUCUCUCGUUUCCAAUUAAAAACCUAAAAGAUGAAUUUUCCGAUUUGUGUUGGUUUAAUAUAUGUUAACAACACUGUGCGAGUCGGUUUACUUGGUUGACGUAUUGACAUAUUUGCCCCUCGUUUCGUAUUUGUUGGUUUACUUGCCCCUCGUUUCUGAUUGUUGGUUUAGUUUUAUCUGUUUCUACUGGGAUGCUCGGUUUACUUGGUUCCCCGCAAUCAUUGAAAUGACGUAGUUGCCCCUGUGUUAAAAAAACUCCGUGCAUCAGUCUUUAUGGGUCUUCAUGUAAUUAGAUCAAAGAUCGUUUAUAUAGUUAAAGUCAGUUACAGAUGUUCCCACCAAAAUCAUCACUCAACCCAGUCGAGAGAAAACGAAAAACAGAGAGACUAUCGUUGACGAUGAUGAUUCCAUCUUUCUGGAUUCUCGCGAUCUUUUCCAUCUCAAUGGCUUCAUCCUCCACGAUUCCAUCUCUACGAGGUAAAAAUCUGGUGAUUCUGUUAUGAUUUCCCGAGAAAAUUUGAAUCAAACAGAGGCUCAGUUUCCAUGUUCGUCCUCUUUCUCUCGUUUUCCUUCACUUUCUCGCUUGUUCUCCAGGUCCAGGAAUCGGAACCAACUACGGACGAUACAGCUCAAAUCUCGGAGGUAAUCUUUACAUUCUGUUACGAAUCCCGAGAAAAUUUGAGAGAUUGUUCUUCAACUCUUCGCUUGUUUCUUGAUCGUUUUUCAAUCACUUUCCGGGAAAAUUCGAUAGAAAGCUCUUCUUCAGUUAUUGAUCGUUUUCUUCUUUAAUCCAGUUCCAGAGAUCGGAAUCAACUACGGCCGUUACGGCUCAAACCUCCCACCACCAGAAGCCUUACCAUCACUCGUAACCUCUCUCUCCAUCAAACACGUCAAAACCUUCGACAUGGACCCAAGAAUCACCACCUCCUUCGCCAACACAGGCAUCUCCCUCUCCCUCUGCAUCCCCAACGACAAGAUCCCUCUCCUCUCCACCAACCUGUCCGAAGCCGACUCCAUCAUCAGAGCCUUCAUCUUACCUUACCACAAAACCACCAUCAUCACCUCAAUCUCCGUCGGCAACGAAGUCUCCCUCCUCCCUCCGUUCACCCCACACUUAGUCUCCGCUGUAGUCAACGUUCACCGAGCGAUCAAGCGCUACAGAUUGCACAAGAAGAUCAAAGUGACAACCACUCACUCCUUAGCGAUCCUCUCGCGGCGUUUCCCUCCCUCGACGGCGAGGUUCCAUAACUCGAUCGGCGAAUCGGUGUUGAAGCCGCUCGUUAGGUUUCUGCAGAGGACCAAGUCUCCUCUCAUGGUGAAUGUCUACCCUUACUUGGCGUACAAGCAAUCGUUCCCUUCGAUUCCGUUGGAUUUCGCUUUGUUUCAGCCCGUGAACGGAUCUAAGCGGCGGAUGUAUAGAGAUCCGUACAGUGGAGUCGCGUACACUAACUUGUUCGAUAUAAUGAUGGACUCGGUGGACUCUGCUGUGAAGGCUCUGGGGUUACCGAAGAUUCCGGUGGUUGUGUCGGAGAUUGGGUGGCCGUCGAGUGGUGAUCCAGGCGAAGUGGCGGCGAGUUUGGAGAACGCGAGGGUUUUUAAUCAGCGGUUGGUUGAGCAUUUGAGGAGAGGGGAGAAGAAGGUUACUGUGUAUAUCUUUGCUCUGUUUGAUGAAGAUCAGAAGAGUGGAGCCACUGUGGAGAAGCACUGGGGGUUGCUGUAUGGUAAUGGAUCGAAGAAGUAUGAUCUGAAUAUCUCGCCGCCGGUUUGAAAGUUUGAGCGUCGCGAAGAGAGAGAAGAUUGUUUUGUAUAUGGGCCUUUGUUUUUUUCAUGGGCCGUAGAUCAACAUGUUAGCUAACCAGGUCUUUUGUAAACCAUAAAUAGAUAUAAAAAUUUGGAAAUAAAUAAAUAAAUGGAGUUGUUUGAGUGUUUGGACUCGUUUUUUUUUUGACCUUUUAUGUCACGUUCAAAUAUGACAUAGAUUCGAUUGUACUUUGUCAUUUUCUUUAGGACAUAUAUCUAACAAGACAUUUGUCUCUGGAUAGAUCUGAAAUGCAAAUUGUCAUCUUGUUACGGAAAGUUGUCGUCCAUUCGAAAUUAUAUGUAACAAUUCGAUAUUUAUAAUAUAGAUGAAAUAAAAAUUUAGAAGCGCAAGUGCAAGUGAUCAUAUCUCCACUAUAAGUGCAAGUAAGUGAGAAGAGAUAUUUGCGGAGGAAACAGUGGGAAAGGGGUGAGUAGUGGGUAUAAAACUGGUGGCUCGUCAUUCGGUGGCUGCAUUAUUCUGACCAUAUAUGGAUCCAUGUGCCGCACUGCACUUUGUCUCUGGAUCGUCAUGUAGGAUGUGUUUUUCAAUCUCAUUUCUGAUUAUUAAUCAUUAUUAUUGAUUUCUUAUUUUUGACGAAAUUGUUUUUUUUAAUCAAGAAAUUGUUUUGUUUCGGUUGCCAAAAUAUACAAUGCUUCUUAAUACACAUUAAUACACAUAAGACCAAGAACUGUCCCAUCUCUACACUCUCUCACUCACAUGGAGAGAAAACAAUAAGAGUCUUUGUCCACCCUGUAUUAGCGAUACAUGUCGUUUACGAUGCAUAUAUAUGUAUACAUUCAUAUAAAAAUAUUGAGAUGCACCAGACUGAAACUAUAUAUGUAUUGCAUUUGAGUACCAAACAACAAGGAUGAAUCACGAAAAACAUUAAUGAAUAGCUAGUAGUUAUUCAAAUAAUUCGUUUAGUUGGGAAGCAAGAUUGUGAAGAAGAUUCACGUGAACCUAAUUAUUUGUAACAAAACCUAUUACGAAAUUAGGUAAGUUGGAUGUAUUAAGAAUUCGGGUGAGCUAGUCUAGUGGAUGACAAUUGAGGUAAGCUUCUAAAUUUUGGUGCAUAUAACUUUUAUAAAGACUCUAUACAUGUUUUUGGAUUAAAUAUUCAGUGGCUCAAUUUAUGACCAAGUGCUCUCUAGAGUUAGUUGAAGAAAUUUCAAGAUGUUUUAGUUUGUCAAAAGAUGUACAACACUGUGAAUGUGAUGGUAAUUAAAGAUAUUUCAAAGAAUACAUUACAUUUAAGAUUUACUUCUCUUUGAGUUAACAUAAAGAACUUUUUUUAACACAAGUCACUGAAUGAGUAAAUUCUCCUCCACUCAUGUCACAGAUUCAGUUAAAAAAUGAUCCAUCAUGAAAUCAUCAUUAAUGAGUAAUGAGUGGUAUGAUGAAUAGAUGAUGUCAUGUUGACGACAAAUAUGGAUAAAAUUCUUAUUUUUAAAAUUGUUCUUUGGGAAUAAUUAAUCAGUCAAGUCAGACACAAAAACCUAACAUGCGCCAGACAUAAACCCGACCCGUGACCCGACUAAGUCGUAAGCCACACGGAAACCUUGUUGCUGUAUGUUCCCAAUAAUCGACAAACUCCCCAUUGUGCCGGCGAACGCAAAACAGAACCGCCCUUGACUGUUCACCGGAAUAAGAUAAUUACUUGCCGGAAGCGAAACAUCUCCUCCGCUGAAAUGAAACACCACCGUCGGAACUUUCACCGUCGUCAUCCCGGAAAGAUCGAAACACGUGUCGAACAGAGAAUACGACGGAGCACGUUUAAGCCUCGUCGCUCCGAGAAGAAACGCAUCUCUGAACGCCACAUAAGCCGGUCGAGUCAGCCGAGUAACCGAAGUACCGGAAUCUAUAAUCACUCCGCCGUCUCCGGUGGGGUCAAGCUUAAACUGCGACUCCGAGACGCCGGGAACGCGCGAACCACCAACGCUGAUCCCAAGAAGCUGAAGAUAAUAGAACGUGUCGAGCUUCGGAUUCGUCAAUAACGUCGUGAAGACGGAGGUCUCUCGAACGGCGUCGUUUCCGAAGACGAUAGUCGACGGAGGUUUGGAAGCGGAACCGGAACUCGUCCGGUCGACUAAACAGUAAGAGAAUUUAGCGUUGUAACGGUUUUUCGUCUGCGAGGGAAACGAUAACCCUCCGCGGCCCAGGCCCAACAGCCCAGCCGCACCGACGAACAAGCCUUCGUUAUCGUGACCGCAUCCUAAGGCCACGUGAUCCACACGUGCGCCGUGAAACGUCAGCGUUUCGGUGGAGAAAUCUCCCAUGGUGAAAGACCCGUCACCGUAGGAGACUUGAUAGAGACAUGUCUUGCUUCUUUACAGAUAUACCAGACUGAGUUGUAUUGAACCAUUUAAACUCUUCAUGACAUGAGAACAAGCCAGAGAAAACAAAGAAGCCACAACCCAAGUUUACAUCAUAGAUCACAGACAAAGCCCCUAAUUACAACACUUCUCCACGGUUGACACACUCCGACGACGACUCGUCUAGUCUCCGACAGAGAGGAGAACCGCAUGGGACGGUGGCAAAGGUUUUUGACUUAGCCGGGUCGAACAUCGGGUCGGAUUGGCUCCUCCUCCACCUUCACCACUUUGCUGCUGCUCUUUCCAGAUUCUUCCAGUGACUCGCAGUUUCAGCUCUUUCCUGUCUCCACCUGAGAAGAAUAGAGCCAUGUUCCUCUGUAUGAUUAGCCCAUCAUGACUGUCUCUAACUUUCCUGUGACUGUCUCUUACGCUUCUCGGCGUUCCUUCCCAAAUCAGCUUCCGACCAUAACCUCCCACUUCCAAACUGUAGUUGUAGUUCCGAGCUUCUGUCUCGUCCCCCAUGAAACGCAGGAUUGCCAUGUAGACUGGAGCCAUACCGAGCUGGAAUGCCUCAAAGUGGAGACAGAAGUAUUGACCAAAGCAGUGAAAGACCUGACACAAAAAAAACCAAAAAGACAGAAACUUUGAUAAGCCUAUGGGACGGUUAUAGAUGAUUGAAUCAUAUGUAGUCUUACGGUUAACAUCCACGUGGCGUUUUCGACUUCGCGAGGAUUAGACUUGACAUAACGGUGGUUGAAAGUACACCCAGAAUGCAUAUCCACCUUGUGAUCAUCCCUCAGAUGAGCAACUAAGAAAGGUAUAUCACCCAUGACAGAACACUCGGAACCAGCGUAGGGACAGUUAUAAGGCCUGAAGUUACAAACAGUCUCGUGUUUGAGCUUACUGUAAUAAGGAAAUAUCUCAGGACAGCCAAGAGACAUGUAUUUGCACGGUAGCUCAAGGGACUCGGCUACUUUUUCGAGUGCCAAGCAACGGAUAUCACCGAGCUCUUGUCUACAAGUAGGGCAUCGAUUGUGAACCCUGUUCUUACAAGUUGAACAUAGAGUAUGUCCAUUGUGACACUGCAGAGGGAAUCAAAAUCUUUGUGUUAAGCAAAGAGACAAUCAAAAGGCCCUGAAACCAAUCAAGAGAGGAAAGAUCCGGGAACUGAAAAGUAAGGCAAAUUCAGACAGCAAUAGAUUGAAGUGUUUUGUCCGAAAAUACUCUAAAGAGGCAAUCAAAAAGCUGGUAGCUUUGGUAAUGUUUCUUAAGAGAGCACAUAAAAAACCCUAAAACCAAUCAAGAAAGCAAAGAUCCGGGAACUGAAAAGCAGGGGAAAAUUCAGACAACAAGAGAUUAAAAUAGAGUAUCAAACCAUAGUGUAAGUGUUUUGUCCGAAAAUUCUCUAAAGAGACAAUCUUAAAAGCUAAUAGCUUUGGCAAUGUUUCUCAAGAGAGCACACAGAAAAACCCUAAAACCAAUCAACAAAGCAAAGAUCCGGGUAACAAAGAGAUUGAAACAGAGUAUCAAACCAUAGUGUAAGUGUUUUGUCCGAAAAAUUCUCUAAAGAGACAAUCAAAAAGCUUAUAGCUUUGGCAAUAUUUCUCAAGAGAGAGCACACAAAAAAACUAAAAGCAAUCAACAAAGCAAAGAUCCGGACAACAAAGAGACUGAAACAGACCUGAUGAAUAGGAGGGUACAUAGAAUUGGUGCAGACAGGACAUUCGAGAAGCUCGUGAACACUGGUGGUGGUCGGAAGAAGACCAGAAGCAGCAUUCGCGUUGCUGUUAUUACUGUGAUGCUUCGAAACCGAUGCGUAGGAAUGGCGAUCUUGGUGGAUCUCUUCGUCAUCUGUGACAUCUAUGGUUGAAGCACAGUCCAUGCUAUCCAAAUCCAUCAAAAAGGUGAAAACUUUAUUAAUCUCCGAUCGAGAGGAAGAUCGAAUCCGAUGGAUUGAAACGCCAACGAAUCAGGUCAACCUUCGUGAAGUGUUGAUUUCGAAGAAAGAGAGAUGCUUUUCUUCAUUGAG